CGCAGCCGCGGUAAUUCCAGCUCCAAUAGCGUAUAUUAAAGUUGUUGCAGUUAAAAAGCUCGUAGUUGAAUUUCGGGGUUCUACCGUUGGUCAGGCUAUUGUUUGUACUGGCGUGUAGAAUUUCUACCUUCUGGGGAACUAUCAUGUUAUUAAUUUAGCGUGGUAGGAAACCAGGACCUUUACCUUGAAAAAAUUAGAGUGUUCAAAGCAGGCUUAUGUCUGAAUACAUUAGCAUGGAAUAAUAAAAUAGGACGGUGGUCCUGUUUUGUUGGUUUCUGAAUCACCGUAAUGAUUAAUAGGGAUAGUUGGGGGCAUUAGUAUUCAAUUGUCAGAGGUGAAAUUCUUGGAUUUAUUGAAGACUAACUACUGCGAAAGCAUUUGCCAAGGAUGUUUUCAUUAAUCAAGAACGAAGGUUAGGGGAUCGAAAACGAUCAGAUACCGUUGUAGUCUUAACAGUAAACUAUGCCGACUAGGGAUCGGAUGAUGUUAAUUUUAUAAUGACUCA
rnacentral:rRNA from 1 species